rnacentral:pre_miRNA from 1 species
AAGGGAGGUGAGGAAUUCCUCAGCCCGGAUUGUGAGAGAAUGCAGGCCAGGCCGAGGGACCCCACCCGUGCAUG